rnacentral:rRNA from 1 species
GACGAACGCUGGCGGCGUGCUUAACACAUGCAAGUCGAACGGAAAGGCCCUGCUUUUGUGGGGUGCUCGAGUGGCGAACGGGUGAGUAACACGUGAGUAACCUGCCCUUGACUUUGGGAUAACUUCAGGAAACUGGGGCUAAUACCGGAUAGGAGCUCCUGCUGCAUGGUGGGGGUUGGAAAGUUUCGGCGGUUGGGGAUGGACUCGCGGCUUAUCAGCUUGUUGGUGGGGUAGUGGCUUACCAAGGCUUUGACGGGUAGCCGGCCUGAGAGGGUGACCGGCCACAUUGGGACUGAGAUGCGGCCCAGACUCCUACGGGAGGCAGCGGUGGGGGAUGUUGCACAGUGGGCGGAAGCCUGAUGCGGCAACGCCGCGUGCGGGAUGACGGGCUUCGGGUUGUAAACCGCUUUCGCCUGUGACGAAGCGUGAGUGACGGUAAUGGGUAAAGAAGCACCGGCUAACUACGUG